rnacentral:lncRNA from 1 species
GCCGUGGCAUCCCUUGGAAGUGGGCUGUGCGUGCCCUCCGACCCGGCCCGCAGUGGGGUCAGACCCCUCUGAGGACGAGCUCCUCUCCCGUUUUCCUUCCUCCACCCCGUGCCGGGAGCCUGCACGGGGCUUUGCUCGCCUCGGGGCGGAGGAAAAUCCGUCUGACUCGUCAGUCAGAACGGAGAAUCGAGAAGUUCAAUCCCGGCGCGCCCAGAGGAGCCGGCGAGUUCCUGCCCGCUGUCACCGCUGGCGUUCCGGAGCGCGGACGGACUGACAGACUGACGGAUGUGCAGCACUGGAAACCAACAUCAACUUCAGUAAACCAUGUAAUGGAGGCAGUUCUGGAUUUCUGAAAGGGCUCAGAGUGUCUGCAGUAGUGAAUGUUAUCUGGUGGUGGAUGUGGACUUUUAAACUGUGUCUCAACAUCUCAUCCUCAACUAUUUUUAGUCUGAUUGCACUACGAAAGAAAAGCUGCUAAUGGGAUAAAUGUUGAGACUUUACAAGAACUGACUUGAAGUACCGAAAGCCAUUAUUAUUAUUAUUUUAUUAUUACUAUUAUUAAUCAAGAAGAGCUUGAAGCUAAGUCUAUAUCUGAUCAGUUGUU